GCACGAGUGGCGAAACUGGCAGACGCAGCGGACUUAAAAUCCGCGGCCCCGAAAGGGGCGUCCGGGUUCGAUUCCCGGCUCGUGCA
rnacentral:tRNA from 1 species